CCAGCCCCACCUGGAUUCGCCUCAGCGGUGCCGCCUUCACGAGCGCCUGCUUUAAAACUCCUCGAAAAGCGCUUUAAGGUAGAAAACUUGGGUUCGAGACCAAAAAGUCGUGGGGCCAGUGCAGAAUGACAGCCGUAACUCUGGAUGUCUUCAUCAGCUGCUGCUGGCAACACCCUGACAAAAUAUCUGCCACCCAGAAAAGCACAUACUGUAAGUGUCUGUACCUGUGACUCACAGCUGCCCUGCCCAUUUGAGAUGUGAGUAAAGCACACCUGUUGCUGCUGGCCAUUCAAUACACCCCUCAAUUCCUGAUCUGUUAGUUCUGCUUCCUUCCUUUCUCCCAGCCAGCUGCCUGAACUUGCUCAAACUUGCUCAAACUGCUAUCGGGGCAGUUUGUCUGGAAGUUUAAGCUUGGUGUCCAUCAUAUCAUUAUUGUGCCCUGCCUGCUGGAUUCAGGUGUCCCGCAGCCUUUUGGUUUUCUGUCCUCAGCUUGGCACAUCAGUCUUGCCUCUGCACUUGAUUUAAUCUCUUCUGUGGGAUGCAAGAGCUUGGCAGAGUUCCCUCUCGUGCUGACUUUGUGCCAACCGCAGUGAAAAAAUAACGGUUUGGAAGAUAACUGUUUCUCAGCUUUCUUACACACACACAAACGGGCAGCUCCACGUGCUCCUAGCGAAGAGAGAGAACGUUGCAGUGUGAGCUCACAUGUUAGCAAAGCCAGAGAAUUCACACAGAAAGGAGACCUUAAAAUGCAUUAGCAAAGAAAAGGCUUCUGAAGAGCUGAAGUACAAAUUCCUAAGUGUAUUGGACACAGGGCACUUGUUGUAGGUGAUCAUGAGUAUUUAAAUGAGCUUUCCUUUUGUAACAAAUUGAGAAACUUCAAAAGCAAACUGAGAUCAUAGCUGAGUAAAUGCAUCUGCAGUAAUUGAGGCAUUAAGAAAGUAUUAUGGCAAGAUUUGUUACAAAAGCAGGGUGGAUUGUAAGGCUAGGACAAUGGUAAAAAAUUAACAAGAAAAUACUUCAAGUCCUUUCACAUUUUGCAGAAGCGAUUACUAUAGUCAGUUACUUAGGAGCAUACAUUUGAUUGGUGGGUCUAGUUUCCAUUUCUCCUAAUGAACAGUUCACAUGCAUCCUUGGGGAAUGGCAGUGACACUGAGCUGACAGUGAAAUAGAGUAUUUUCAACACAGAUUUUGUUGUACUCUUCCAUUGGCACCUACAAAACACCAACCACUAAACCUUAGGACACCUCAGUGAUGCCAGCCAGCACCUUGUCUGCCCCGUGAGGAGCCUGUCUGCCAGUCCUGUUUGUAGGAGCAGCGCGUUUCCUUUGCGGCGGAGCGGGCAGCGCCGGCCGCUCCGCUGCGCUCCGCCAGUGCCGCCGCUGCCGCUCUCCCCGCUCCGGGGCCGGGGCCGGGGUUAUGUAAAGAGCCGAGUUACGCAAGGAAUGCAGAUUUUCCCUUACGUAAGCGCCCGCCCCUGUCGGAGCCUUCCCUGUUCGUGCCGGCGCUGCCUAUACGUUAACGGAGGGAAAAGCGGUGCUGGCGGGGUUGGCGCAUCUCUGGCUCCAUCCACACUGACCUCUUCACUGCGGUGGCUCUUUCCACUCGCGUUUUGUGAAAAUCCCUCCUCUUCCUUAACCUGCAGGACAUUUCCUUCCAUUAAAAUAAACAGCACACAUACUGAAGUCGUAUUUAUGCCCUUUUCUGGGUCUAGGAAAGACUUUAUUAAUUCCCAGUUAUUGGAUGGAGUGAAGUUAAUCCAAUGCGGACAAAGGGAAGUUACAAAGUUCUGUGUAUCUCAAGCUCUAUGUUUCAGCUGCUGCCACAAUUGAAGGACCUGAUUCCAAUGCCUGUGUCCAAACACAGAUUUCUAAGUCACUUCAGUGCCAACAGGACUAGAAAAAAGAGCCCCAUAGCUCAGAACUCUGUCUUUAGCAGAUGUGAGGGAAGAUUGCAGGGAUGGUGAGGCCUGUUGCUGUUUGGUUGUCCCCUCAUGUGCAGGCAGAGCAUCAUCAGGAGGGAUCAUCACUUGGGAUACUUUCAUGGAGCAGUAGAUGCUGUCAGGGCUUCUGUGCGUGAUGCUUUACUCAGCUCCCUCUAUGCUGAUUUCUGAUCCUGCAGCUUUCCACACCUUUCCCUGAUUUAGUGACCCUGAUAAAUUGGGGUGGGUGGUUUGCUUGGGUAUUUUGUUUUUGUUUUUUUUUUUGGUUGGUUGUUUUUAU